rnacentral:rRNA from 1 species
UUUGGUUAAGUUAGAAAGGGCGCACGGUGGAUGCCUUGACACUAGGAGUCGAUGAAGGACGGGACUAACGCCGAUAUGCUUCGGGGAGCUGUAAGUAAGCUUUGAUCCGAAGAUUUCCGAAUGGGGAAACCCACCAUACGUAAUGGUAUGGUAUCCUUAUCUGAAUACAUAGGGUAAGGAAGACAGACCCAGGGAACUGAAACAUCUAAGUACCUGGAGGAAGAGAAAGCAAAUGCGAUUUCCUGAGUAGCGGCGAGCGAAACGGAACAUAGCCCAAACCAAGAGGCUUGCCUCUUGGGUUGUAGGACAUUCUAUACGGAGUUACAAAGGAACGAGGUAGACGAAGCGACCUGGAAAGGUCCGUCGUAGAGGGUAACAACCCCGUAGUCGAAACUUCGUUCUCUCUUGAAUGUAUCCUGAGUACGGCGGAACACGUGAAAUUCCGUCGGAAUCUGGGAGGACCAUCUCCCAAGGCUAAAUACUCCCUAGUGAUCGAUAGUGAACCAGUACCGUGAGGGAAAGGUGAAAAGCACCCCGGAAGGGGAGUGAAAGAGAUCCUGAAACCGUGUGCCUACAAAUAGUCAGAGCCCGUUAACGGGUGAUGGCGUGCCUUUUGUAGAAUGAACCGGCGAGUUACGAUCCCGUGCGAGGUUAAGCUGAAGAGGCGGAGCCGCAGCGAAAGCGAGUCUGAAUAGGGCGUUUAGUACGUGGUCGUAGACCCGAAACCAGGUGAUCUACCCAUGUCCAGGGUGAAGUUCAGGUAACACUGAAUGGAGGCCCGAACCCACGCACGUUGAAAAGUGCGGGGAUGAGGUGUGGGUAGCGGAGAAAUUCCAAUCGAACCUGGAGAUAGCUGGUUCUCCCCGAAAUAGCUUUAGGGCUAGCCUUAAGUGUAAGAGUCUUGGAGGUAGAGCACUGAUUGGACUAGGGGUCCUCAUCGGAUUACCGAAUUCAGUCAAACUCCGAAUGCCAAUGACUUAUCCUUAGGAGUCAGACUGCGAGUGAUAAGAUCCGUAGUCAAAAGGGAAACAGCCCAGACCGCCAGCUAAGGUCCCAAAGUGUGUAUUAAGUGGAAAAGGAUGUGGAGUUGCUUAGACAACUAGGAUGUUGGCUUAGAAGCAGCCACCAUUUAAAGAGUGCGUAAUAGCUCACUAGUCGAGUGACUCUGCGCCGAAAAUGUACCGGGGCUAAAUACACCACCGAAGCUGCGGAUUGAUACCAAUGGUAUCAGUGGUAGGGGAGCGUUCUAAGGACAGUGAAGUCAGACCGGAAGGACUGGUGGAGUGCUUAGAAGUGAGAAUGCCGGUAUGAGUAGCGAAAGACGGGUGAGAAUCCCGUCCACCGAAUGCCUAAGGUUUCCUGAGGAAGGCUCGUCCGCUCAGGGUUAGUCAGGACCUAAGCCGAGGCCGACAGGCGUAGGCGAUGGACAACAGGUUGAUAUUCCUGUACCACCUCUUUAUCGUUUGAGCAAUGGAGGGACGCAGAAGGAUAGAAGAAGCGUGCGAUUGGUUGUGCACGUCCAAGCAGUUAGGCUGAUAAGUAGGCAAAUCCGCUUAUCGUAAAGGCUGAGCUGUGAUGGGGAAGCUCCUUAUGGAGCGAAGUCUUUGAUUCCCCGCUGCCAAGAAAAGCUUCUAGCGAGAUAAAAGGUGCCUGUACCGCAAACCGACACAGGUAGGCGAGGAGAGAAUCCUAAGGUGUGCGAGAGAACUCUGGUUAAGGAACUCGGCAAAAUGACCCCGUAACUUCGGGAGAAGGGGUGCUUUCUUAACGGAAAGCCGCAGUGAAUAGGCCCAAGCGACUGUUUAGCAAAAACACAGCUCUCUGCGAAGCCGUAAGGCGAAGUAUAGGGGGUGACACCUGCCCGGUGCUGGAAGGUUAAGGAGAGGGGUUAGCGUAAGCGAAGCUCUGAACUGAAGCCCCAGUAAACGGCGGCCGUAACUAUAACGGUCCUAAGGUAGCGAAAUUCCUUGUCGGGUAAGUUCCGACCCGCACGAAAGGUGUAACGAUUUGGGCACUGUCUCAACCAGAGACUCGGUGAAAUUAUAGUACCUGUGAAGAUGCAGGUUACCCGCGACAGGACGGAAAGACCCCGUGGAGCUUUACUGUAGCCUGAUAUUGAAUUUUGGUACAGUUUGUACAGGAUAGGCGGGAGCCAUUGAAACCGGAGCGCUAGCUUCGGUGGAGGCGCUGGUGGGAUACCGCCCUGACUGUAUUGAAAUUCUAACCUACGGGUCUUAUCGACCCGGGAGACAGUGUCAGGUGGGCAGUUUGACUGGGGCGGUCGCCUCCUAAAGUGUAACGGAGGCGCCCAAAGGUUCCCUCAGAAUGGUUGGAAAUCAUUCGUAGAGUGCAAAGGCAUAAGGGAGCUUGACUGCGAGACCUACAAGUCGAGCAGGGACGAAAGUCGGGCUUAGUGAUCCGGUGGUUCCGCAUGGAAGGGCCAUCGCUCAACGGAUAAAAGCUACCCCGGGGAUAACAGGCUUAUCUCCCCCAAGAGUCCACAUCGACGGGGAGGUUUGGCACCUCGAUGUCGGCUCAUCGCAUCCUGGGGCUGUAGUCGGUCCCAAGGGUUGGGCUGUUCGCCCAUUAAAGCGGUACGCGAGCUGGGUUCAGAACGUCGUGAGACAGUUCGGUCCCUAUCCGUCGUGGGCGUAGGAAAUUUGAGAGGAGCUGUCCUUAGUACGAGAGGACCGGGAUGGACGCACCGCUGGUGUACCAGUUGUUCUGCCAAGGGCAUAGCUGGGUAGCUAUGUGCGGAAGGGAUAAGUGCUGAAAGCAUCUAAGCAUGAAGCCCCCUCAAGAUGAGAUUUCCCAUAGCGUAAGCUAGUAAGAUCCCUGAAAGAUGAUCAGGUUGAUAGGUUCGAGGUGGAAGCAUGGUGACAUGUGGAGCUGACGAAUACUAAUAGAUCGAGGACUUAACCAUAUAA